CAUCUGUCAUGGUCUUGAGACGCUUGAAGUAGAAGAAGGUGAGGAUGACCAGUAGGUUUCCUGCCAGCCCCAGGAAACAGAUGAUGGAGUAGAAGGUUACUGGUGGCCUUGCUGUACUUAUUUUUAAAAAUAAGAGUCUUCCUGUGCAACCAGUGGUAAUGUGGGUUUUUUUCUAGUCCCUUGUUGUUAUAAAAGAUUUUAGUGUGAUUCAGUAACCAUAAUGGGUCUUGUCAUUUAUUGUGAUUUGUUUUUACUCUACAAUACAGACUGCACCACUGUCAGAUAACUUGAUGAGCCAGAUUUACCAGAUUUAACUCCUAUAUGUUUAAAUGUAUUAUUCAUUUCAGUUAUAAGAAUAAUAAUCAUCAUCAAGUAUUAUAGUGUAGCAAUGACAGUGGUUGCCAGAUUUAGGCUAGUCCAAAAAUAAUGUUUGCUGAUAAAUUACAUUAAAAGUACAGUUCUGUG